rnacentral:rRNA from 1 species
UACGGGGGGAGCAAGCGUUGUUCGGAUUCAUUGGGCGUAAAGGGCGCGUAGGCGGCGGGGUAAGUCUGGUGUGAAAUCUCGGAGCUCAACUCCGAAACUGCACUGGAUACUGCUCUGCUAGAGGGCUGGAGAGGAGAUCGGAAUUCACGGUGUAGCAGUGAAAUGCGUAGAUAUCGUGAGGAAGACCAGUGGCGAAGGCGGAUCUCUGGACAGCUCCUGACGCUGAGGCGCGAAGGCUAGGGGAGCAAACGGG